rnacentral:rRNA from 1 species
AUACGUAGGUGACAAGCGUUAUCCGGAUUUACUGGGCGUAAAGGGCGUGUGGCGGUCUUGCAAGUCAGAAGUGAAAUUCCUGAGCUCAACUCGGGCGCUGCUUCUGAAACUGCAGGACUUGAGUGCUGGAGGGGAUAGCGGAAUUCCUAGUGGAGCGGUAAAAUGCGCAGAUAUUAGGAAGAACACCGGUGGCGAAGGCGGCUAUAUGGGCAGUAACGGACGCUGAGGCGCGAAAGCGUGGGGAGCAAACAGGAUUAGAUACCCUGGUAGUCCACGCUGUAAACGAUGAAUACUAGGUGUAGGGGGUAUCGACUCCCUCUGUGCCGCAGUUAACACAAUAAGUAUUCCGCCUGGGGAGUACGGCCGCGAGGUUGAAACUCAAAUGAAUUGACGGGG